GGAGUGCCUGAAAAAAGCGUCUAUUAGUGAUGAAUCGGAAUUACAAUGCAAAUAAACAAAUGGGGGGCACAGUUGCACCAUAUUAAUGGGUUAGGUUGUCGCAAAAAGGGACGCCACAUGAUCCUCCAGCCAACUUACCAGUAACAUGAUUAGCAGCGAUUAGAAACAGUGGAUCUUUUCUUGGUUUUCAGAACUUCUGAAGGCCUUCCUCCAGUCCUUUUGUUGAAGACUAGGUUUAAACAUUAAUCCACCAGAGUUAGGAGCCAUUUUUGUUCCCUUUUCCAAAAAACUGGCCUCAGAAAACGAUCCUUAGAAGCCAAAAUGGAAGACCUACAAUGCUAAGUGGUUUAUUUCUUGUUAUUCUAUGCCUUUAAUAACUACCUCCUCCUCCUCCUCCUCCGGUAUAUGGCAUACUUCUUGUGUUCACCAUCUUUUUAAUUAAAGAAAUCUUUAGUUUAAAGAUUAAAUCUCCUAAAAUCAAGGAAAUAUCGGAUUAAAAUUCUAAACAGAGGAGUUUGUUUACAGCUUACGGUAAAUAAGAGAGUUGCCAUUUCACUUAAAAGUAAUUAGAGAAAUAUGAAACUAAUUAGGCAAUUAAUAGGCAGAAAAUACCCUAUAAUUUGUAUAGUUAUACAAAUUUGUAAUAUCCAUUGAUUUAUUUUAAUUAUAUAUGUAUAUAUUAUAUUAAUUUGAAACCAUAAUAAACCUGCAAACAGAGCGUCGAAAA